GCAGGAUCAGUUUGCUACUGUUAACCGAUCACAGAAGACGGUGAGGCUCCGCCAGCCCUAGUGGUCGAUUAUAUUUCAAGCUCCAGACACUAGUCAAUUUAUAGGAUAUAUCAAGAGCUCCGUCAGAAAUAGUAACUUAAAGGCGGCAAGGAACAGACGCUCAAGGAAGUCGUGGAUAGAAGCUGUAACCACGACACAUAUUAAUAAGACUGGCGAAUAAAAAUACUAGAGCUCUCAUUCGCAUUACCACGCUAUCAUGAAUUUUUUUAAUCUACAAAAGCGAGAUUCCUUUCUUUCUAUAAAGAUGCACGCGACAAAGCCUAGCAUUACCAACAUCAAGGAAACACUUGUAAGAUGUUUUUGUAAAUUUUAUUUCUUGAUGGAAGAAUGAUUUUUGUUGGUUAUUGUUCAGCAGGAGUUAAAUUCGUAUUGUAGCUUUUUUGUAGUUUUAUCCUUACCUGUAAUUACCUUUAGAGGAAAUUAACUUUUGAUAAUUAUUUUAGUUUAGAAAUAAUUUGAUUACUGUUUUUUUGUAUAAUGUAUUUUGUAUAAUGCAUGUGACUUUAUUGAUUAAUUUUUGAAUGUAUGAUAGCUUUUUGUAGUUUCUAGAGUAAAUAACUUUUGAUAGUAAAAUGUUUUUAUGACAGAAAUAAUUUGAUUUGAAUACUUUUAUUUUGCUUUUUGUGACCUGAAUGUUUAAUUUUUAAAUAUAACUUAAAUUAUUUGAAUGUGUCUUGUCCAUUUGAAAAUCUGUAGUAUAUAUUAAAUUUUAUCUUAGUACAACGAACAAACCUGUAUUUAGUCAGGGUACCAACAGUGAGCAAAACUGCGUCUUGGGUAGUAAUAUUAGCAAUGGCAAUAAUAUAAGUAAACCCGGUAUCUGUGACAGAAAUAAAAUUAUUAAACCUAUCUGUUAGUAAUGAGCUAAUCUAUAUCUGGCCGUAUGAGCUGUCUAUGGCAGUAAUGAGCUAAGCAUGGGAGUAAUGAGCAAUGGCAGUAAUGAAAUUAGCAAACUUUUAGUUUGUGGUAACGAUAUGAGCAACCCUAUUAAUGUAGUAAUAUGAGCAAACCUAUAUGAUUAAACCUGUUAUCUGUGGCUGUAGUAAGCAAACCUAUUACCUAUGGCAGCAAUAUGAGCAAUCACUAAUAUAAUGAGCAAACCGGUUAUAGAUUGGAGAAAUAUGAAACCUAUGAACUAUGGCAGAAAUAAACAAACCAGGAAUAUAAUAAAUAUUAUAGAUGCCAAAUGCAUGAGCAAAAAUACGAGGCAUUUCAGUUUCAUGUCAAGAAAUUUUAUACCAGUUUCACUGGCACUUUGCUAAGCAGCUAUGGUCACUAGAAUUAUAGCAUUAGCUCUGACACCCUAGCAGUGAUUUAAUUAGAUGGUUCUGACAAGCGCCUCAGUGGCGUGGUUGGUAUGGUGUUGGCGUCCCACCUCGGUGGUCGCGAGUUAAGGCCUGUCCACACGAGCGGGACUGAUCGGCGUGCUCCGGGGUUGACGGGCAGAUUCUGGCGGGCUUACCCGUGAAUGUUGUCCACACAGGUGAGGCGAUGGAGAGGUGGGCGUACCCGACGAUGCCAGUAGUUGCGGUACGAUAAACAUGGUGCCUACCGCAAAGAAGAAGGUAGUGUAGCAUGAUAAUUGCUUUGUGUGAUGAAAAAGAAGAGAAUAUGGUGCAAAGAAUGGCUCAGUACAAGAAAUGUAUAUGGUUAACGUACGUCUGCCAGGGCCAAAGUUCAAGCCAUCGGGCUCCACAAUGGUGAUUUUGCUACAAGACCCAUCGGGCAAUUUGACGGUUUGCCCGUCAAGUGCGCCCGUUAGGCGCUGUCCACACUACCGGGCAGUGCCCGACGGGCAAACACUGUUACCAUACCCCGUUUCAAGACACAAGGUGGGAGAGUGAUCGGCAGGCACAAAUGGAGGUGAUUAAAGAUGGGGAAACCUCGGGCAAACUAGCGAGUAACCCGUGAGUGUAGUUGAGUAAAACACCAGAAACUGACGUGUCCGGUGGUUUGUUUAACCAACGCUGGUGUCAGCACAAUAGGUUUCCAGGACCAUAGUUUAUUAUCGAUCUCUCACUUACAAAAGGGUGUUCUAAGUAUAGUCAUCAUGUCCGGCAAAGAAACUACACACAUUCACUGGUCAAGAGAAGAAAUCAUACAAUUACCACAGGGGAUAUAAAACGGAAAAUAGAAACCCUGUGCGAAAUCAACACAGACGUGGAAUGCGAUUGGUUGAAAACUCACGCAAGUCAGGAGCUGGGAUAGACGACAUUUACAUCCCCAGAUUAUGGUGUUUUAAUGACCUUUCUUUCCUUAAUGAUGGUGACACAAUCAGACCAUCUCUCUCAAACAUAGAUAAUGCCACCAACGAUACAGCUGAGGAGGAACAUUCUGAUCAUGAGAUUUUCAACGGUCCAGUACUGAUGGGAGUUGGUGAAACAUCUCUUGCAGCAACG